rnacentral:tRNA from 5 species
UGCUUAGUAGUUAAUGUUAAUAUAACUAAGAACUGCAAAUUCUUCAUAGUCUAGUUAGACCUAAGCUU